UUCCGAAGCGCUCACGCCGGCCGUCUGUGUUUACGAUACGAGACGGUUUUGUUUUUGUCUUAUGACGCGAUUUCAUUGAUAUUUUAAAGACUAUUGUAUUUUGUACUCGUGUUGUAUACAAAACUGUGUUUUUAUGCUAGUGUGAAAUUAUUCACGGCGCUACAUUGAAACUGUGUUUGAAAGGGUCAUGCAGGUUAUCUCAAAGCAAAUAGUCAAGCGAGCUUUAACGCCCAAACGUUUAUUCAUAACAUAUGCGUGAAUUUUAAAUGUUAUGUUAUACGUUAAUGAUGUUUUAUAUGAGUUAUGUGUUCAUUAGUUGGUAAAGUUCAGCUCUUUAGCGCACUGGAGCUAUGAAAAAACUGAACGCUUUGUCGAAACCAGUUUGCGCUCGAAAGUGGGUGAAUAGAAGUGGGAAUAAGGUUGUGACGUAGCCACUGCCACGACUUUGUUAUACAGAAUUGGUCGUAAAGAAAACGUGUCAGAUGGAACACAGAUUAUAAAAACGUCGCGCAAACAAAAGUAGUUUAAAAUAGAAAAGACAACCAGCUACGAGUACUUCCGAACAGACAUCCUAUGG